CCUACGGGCGGCAGCAGUGGGGAAUAUUGGGCAAUGGGCGCAAGCCUGACCCAGCAACGCCGCGUGAAGGAAGAAGGCUUUCGGGUUGUACACUUCUUUUCUGCGGGACGAAGAAAGUGACGGUACCUCAGGAAUAAGCCACGCCUAACUACGUGCCAGCAGCCGCGGGAAUACGUAGGCGGCAAGCGUUAUCCGGAUUUAUUGGGUGUAAAGGGCGUGUAGGCGGGAAAGAAAGUCAGAUGUGAAAACUCAGGGCUCAACCCCGAGCCUGCAUUUGAAACUUGUUUUCUUGAGUGCUGGGGAGGCAAUCGGAAUUCCGGGUGUAGCGGUGAAAUGCGUAGAUAUACGGAGGAACACCAGUGGCGAAGGCGGAUUGCUGGACAGUAACUGACGCUGAGGCGCGAAAGCGUGGGGAGCAAACAGGAUUAGAUACCCGAGUAGUC
rnacentral:rRNA from 1 species